CCUACGGGAGGCUGCAGUGGGGAAUAUUGCACAAUGGGCGAAAGCCUGAUGCAGCAACGCCGCGUGAGUGAUGAAGGCCUUCGGGUCGUAAAGCUCUGUCCUCAAGGAAGAUAAUGCCGGUACUUGAGGAGGAAGCCCCGGCGAAUUACGGGCCAGCAGCCGCGGUAAUACGCGGGGGGCUAGCGGUAUCCGGAAUUACUGGGCGUAAAGGGUGCGUAGGUGGUUUCUUAAGUCAGAGGUGAAAGGCUACGGUUCAACCGUAGUAAGCGUUUGACACUGGGGAACUUGAGUGCAGGAGAGGAGAGUGGAAUUCCUGGUGUAGCGGUGAAAUGCGUAGAUAUUAGGAGGAACACCAGUUGCGAAGGCGGCUCUCUGGACUGUAACUGACGCUGAGGCACGAAAGCGUGGGGAGCAAACAGGAUUAGAUACCCGUGUAGUC
rnacentral:rRNA from 1 species